GUGCUUAGUCCCCGCAGUGUCACUAACCCUGUUUUUCUGUCUGUUUCCCUCCCAGGUUCACUUGCCCUCGUCAUCCGUUCUGUCGGCUGGACUCAUCCUCCGGUCCUCUCCUCUUCAGACUUCCCCCACGGCGUCCUCCCAGUUCUCCCUUGCCUCCUCCCUUCCUCGGCCCCAGUGUCUCCUGGCUCUCUGGUUUCAGUCAACUCGGUUCCCCAUGCCUGUGCUUCCCUGGCUUCCACCUCUCCCUCCACUUCGGUCCCUCAACCCCUUUUUCCCUCAAACCUCCUUUCCUCUGAGCGUUGUAUUUGGGUCCUCUCUGUCCCCACACCACCCAUCGUAACAUUUCAAGCUCUUUCUUCAGAAGCUUGUCCAUCUUGACAGCAACAGUGGCUGCAGUCAAUUCCAUUCUUGGUAUGGUUUGAGACUUUAAUGGUGCAUUCCUUGCCUUUGCCAUAAUCAGGGUGGAUUGAGCUUCACCUUCGUAGCAGUAGGUAACUUGCUGUUCCGUAUGCGUCUUCACUAGCAUCAGCAAAAUGAUGUAACUGUGCAAAGACUGGUGCACCAAACUGCUGUGUCUUAACACAUCUGUCAACUCCAAAAGCCUCAAGCUGUUGCAAACCAGACAUCCACUUUUUCCAGCUCCUAAUGACAUUUUCAGGCAGGUCUUCAUCCCAGCUGUACUUCUGCCGGCAUAAGUCUUGCAAAAUUCUUUUGGCAGGCAGUGCCACUGGAGCAAGAAAGUCCAACGGGUCAAAAAUGGAACUGACAAGGGAAAGCAGGCCUCUCCUAGUGUGUGGUUGAACUUUGAGGUUGAUUUUGAACUUGAACUGAUCCGUUUCGGCACAUCACUAGAUUCCCAGUGCUCUCUCCAUUGGCAAGUCAUCUUCAUCCAAGUCCAAAUCCUAAAAACCCUGAGCUUUUUCCUCUUCAGGAAUAGAGCUGAGCAACCUUCAACUGUUACUCAACAAUUUUGUUAGUCGAAAUCCACCGUUUGCCAACAUGCUCCUCAAGUCAGCGCAAAGAGUGAUUGCUGUGUCUUCAUCAGUAGCUGACUUAAGACAAUCGUCUACGUAAAAAUUUUUCUUCACUGUUUUGGCAGCUUCUUGACCAAAUUCAUCCUCAAAAUCUGUUGCACAUUUCUGAAGUGCAAAGGUUGCAACACUUGGCGAAGAUGUUGCGGCGAGGAUGUGGACCAACAACCUGUGUUCUUCAAGUGCCUGCUCGUAGUUCCCAUCGGGCCACCAAAGAAACCUGAGGAGAUCCGUGUCUUCAUUGCUGACUCUGACCUGGUGGAACAUAGCCUCCCCGUCAGUCAUGACCGCCACGGCCUCUUGUCGGAACCGUAAGGUCCUACUAUCAACUUCAGAAACCAGGCCACAGCGCGUUUUAGCUUUGUCCAGGAUGAGUAGUGGGUCAUCAACUGUACUGUAGCAUCUUUGGGCUCUUGCGCCUGAAUAACCUGCACAUGAACUACUUUUUUUAACCUCUGAGUCAUCAAUGUCCAGCAAAAUUACCUAAUAUCCAACCUAAUAUUGUUCUCACAGCGUAUGGGCUGUCAUCCACGCUGUUAACCACCUGCAGUGGCUCCAUUGCCUUGGGAACGUUUGCUCCUAUGAGUAAUCCAACCUCUGCUGGGAUAGUGGGGAGUUUCACCUCCUUUAGAUGAGGCCAACUGUCAACAUCCUCUUGGCAGGGAAUAUUGUCUUUGGUUACAGGGAUAGUUUUCUGUGAAAACACCUCUGAAAGCUCAAUAAAGUGGUUGCCAUGCAG